CCCCCCCCCCGGGGGGCAUAAAAAAUAAUGGAACUGUUCUCAUUAUGACACCCAUCACAGUAACAUACAUAUUAGGCUGAAAUGUCCAUUAAAAGGUAACUAACUACUUGAACUUGUUCCAGACUGCAAGUAUGAAGAUAACUUCCAGCAUAAAGGAGUUUUGUGAUUGGAACCAAUAAAAGGGGAUCAUAACCUCUUUCUUGAACAAUCACCAACUGGUACCUUGAUGAAAUAGUGAAGCUCAACACUGGGUUAUCCAAAGUAGCUCAAUCAAGAAGAGAAAUUUCCAAAUCCAGGAAAAUUAUAUACUUGGUCUUGAUAAACAUGAUUUCUUGGAUGAAAGCCUUAUGAUGCAACAAUUGAGUAAAAUCACCAGCUAGAGGCUACAAAAGAGAUGUUGCAUUGCAGUAGUCAUGGAGAUGUACAAGAUCUGGAAAACUUAUUUACGAAGGCCUUGUUUAUACACGCAAAGAGUAUGGCAAGCCAGUUCAUGCAUUCUCUUAAAGAAGUUCAUCUAGUGGCAAUUCAUAGAACUCUGCAGUAAUUGAAAUCCACUUCAUAGAAACGGUUCUUCAAGAAAAAUAAAGAAUUGAGUUUAGAA
rnacentral:lncRNA from 1 species